CASUCCCUGUCAUUAUAUGSACGCCUGCCCAGUGACRAUUAAACGGCCGCGGURCCCUAACCGUGCAAAGGUAGCAUAAUCAUUUGUCUACUAAUUAUAGACCUGUAUGAAAGGCAAAAUGAGGGUUUAACUGUCUCUUAUAGUCAAUCAAUUAAACUGAUCUCCUAGUAAAAAAGCUAGAAUACAAACAUAAGACCAGAAGACCCUGUGAAGCUUUUAACUAAACCACUAAACCUAAUAGUGAUUAAUUUCGGUUGGGGCGACCUUGGAAACAAAAAGAACUUCCAACUAAACGACACUACCUCGUACCCUCUAGGCACACAAGCCAUCAAACGACCCAGCACAGCUGAUAAACGAACCAAGUUACUCCAGGGAUAACAGCGCAAUCUUCUUCAAGAGCCCAUAUCAAAAAGAAGGUUUACGACCUCGAUGUUGGAUCAGGACAUCCUAAUGGUGCAACCGCUAUUAAGGGUUCGUUUGUUCAACGAUUAACAGUCCCACGUGAUCUGAKUUCAGACCGG
rnacentral:rRNA from 1 species